GUCGGCUACGGUGAUAUGCGUCCGGUGGGAUUUUUCGGCAAAAUUGUGGGAUCUCUUUGCGCGAUCAGCGGAGUGCUGACCAUCGCCCUGCCUGUACCCGUGAUCGUGUCCAAC
rfam:Hypsibius dujardini strain Z151 scaffold0117, whole genome shotgun sequence.